rnacentral:rRNA from 1 species
UACGUAGGGGGCUAGCGUUGUCCGGAAUCAUUGGGCGUAAAGCGCGUGUAGGCGGUCCGGUAAGUCCGCUGUGAAAGUCGGGGGCUCAACCCUCGAAUGCCGGUGGAUACUGUCGGGCUAGAGUGCGGAAGAGGCGAGUGGAAUUCCUGGUGUAGCGGUGAAAUGCGCAGAUAUCAGGAGGAACACCUAUUUCGAAGGCAGGUCUCUGGGCUGACACUGACGCUCAUGCACGAAAGCGUGGGGAGCAAACAGG